CCGUUGCCAACCCGCGAGGGGGAGCUAAUCGGAAAAAACUCUGCUCAGUUCGGAUUGCAGUCUGCAACUCGACUGCAUGAAGCCGGAAUCGCUAGUAAUGGCGUAUCAGAUCGACGCCGUGAAUACGUUCCCGGGCCUUGUACACACCGCCCGUCACAUCACGAAAGUGAGUUGUACUAGAAGUCGCCGCGCGAACCGCAAGGACGCAAGCGCCCAAGGUAUGACUCAUGAUUGGGGUGAAGUCGUAACAAGGUAGCCGUAGGAGAACCUGCGGCUGGAUCACCUCCUUUCUAA
rnacentral:rRNA from 1 species